AUGGAGAUGGCCAUUGUGAUGGCCCGGUAUUCCAUCAGACGCCUGUUAGCUGACGUCCCCGAUGAUGUUGACAUGGUUGUUUUUCCUAACUAUGAAAGCAGCGUCGAGCGUGAUGAUAUAAAAGAUCCAUUCAGUGAGAAGAAAAAACUAUGCCGCCACUCCUCCCUCGAUUUCUGUCUAGGGUUUCCUGCCUCCGCCUCCGCCAUCGCGGAAGCCGAGGGCACGCCGCCGCCUCUGCCGAUCCCUAGGGACGCCGCCUCCGUGGAUGAAGUGGUUCCAUUUGAUCGCAGUUUCUACCUUUUCAAGUUGUUUGGUUAUGAGCCAAGACUGAAGAUAUACAAGCUUAUGUUGCCUCUGUUACCAUGUGGCAACGCAACCAUGAAGGGCUUGACGUGUUGGCUAUCAAGAAGCACUAGGUUGACGGCAGGCAAGGCAUCCAGGAAGCCACAUCACGAGAGAGCGAUGACGCUCAAAGGUUGUGAAGAGGAGUUCCUGAUGAUAGCUGAAUAUACCGGCCUACUUGCCUACAACCAAGGCAAAAUUAUCAGCGUUUAUGCGAAACAGCCUGCUAGCUGGGUGUGUGCCUCCUGUUUGAGCGAGAGGGAUGACCUUUGCUGGGCAGUCAAAGGAUGUGCUCGGAUAUGGUGGUCCAACUGCAAGCGUAGCUUGCAGCUCCAGCUUAGAUUUGUUAGGAACCAAUCACCCAGAUGCCUUUCCUAG
rnacentral:rRNA from 1 species